AGUGAACGCUGGCGGUAGGCCUAACACAUGCAAGUCGAACGGCAGCACAGUAAGAGCUUGCUCUUACGGGUGGCGAGUGGCGGACGGGUGAGGAAUACAUCGGAAUCUACUUUUUCGUGGGGGAUAACGAAGGGAAACUUACGCUAAUACCGCAUACGACCUACGGGUGAAAGCACGGGAUCUUCUGACCUUGCGCGAUUGAAUGAGCCGAUGUCGGAUUAGCUAGUUGGCGGGGUAAAGGCCCACCAAGGCGACGAUCCGUAGCUGGUCUGAGAGGAUGAUCCGCCACAGUGUAUCUGAGACGCGGUCCAGACUCCUACGGAGGGCAGCAGUAGGGAAUAUUGGACAAUGGGCGCAAGCCUGAUCCAGCCGUACCGCGUGGGUGAAGAAGGCCUUCGGGUUGUGAAGCCCUUUUGUUGGGAAAGAAAAGCAGCAGGUUAAUACCCCGCUGUUCUGACGGUACCCAAAGAAUAAGCACCGGCUAACUUCGUG
rnacentral:rRNA from 1 species